GCCUUGUCUGGGUGGCAGCCGCCCGCGGCAGCGACGCCGCCUGCGGGGCGCCGCGGCCGGCUCUGGCGGCGCCACUCGGCCGACCGCGUGCAGCGCGUCCGCCACCGUCACCUCGCGGUCCACGGUCGCGGCUCAGUCAGCAGGACUGACGCUUUCUUGAGCAUUCCACAUGAAACAACUCCAGCUUAGAUGAGUAGAGUGCCACAAACCUUGAAAAUGGACUACUCGGCCGAUUUCAAUCACUCCAAUUUACUGUUUCGUCUCACCCCAAACUAUAGAACUGAUUGAAGCAUAACUCUUACCAACUAAACUACGGCCAAGAAAUCGGCUGUAGAGAAAACUACAUUUGCAUUUAUUACCAAACAAACAAAAGGGAGAAAAAGGUAAGUGUGAUGAUACCGCUACCACUGGAGUGCGACUGUAACGGCUUCAUAGUAAUUUACGUGCACAGGACCUUGCCGUGUAUCAUCAUUAUUAUGUGAUGGGAGAAAGCGUUGAAUUCAACUACUCAAUAAAAUCUCGAUGUCUAUAUUGUUGUAGUGCCUGUAUCUUUUACCGAUGAAAUCGUCCAUUUUGCCACGCGCAAUGCCUGCCGUGGUAUGCUGCUCGUUUGCUCGCUUCCGUAAAAGCUGUGCAACGUUGGGAGUGCACAUAAAUUUCUUACAUAUAUUUUUGCUGAGAAAC